AUGUGAUCGUCUCUCGCAUAUCAAUAAGCGGAGGAAAAGAAACUAACAAGGAUUCCCCUAGUAACGGCGAGUGAAGCGGGAAGAGCUCAAAUUUGAAAUCUUAAAGGGUUUCCCUUUACGAAUUGUAGUUUAAAGAAGUGUUUUCUGUUGAGGUUUUGGUAAAAGUUCUUUGGAAUAGGACAUCAUAGAGGGUGAGAAUCCCGUAUUUGACCUUUACUUUCAACUUUGUGAUACACUUUCAAAGAGUCGGAUUGUUUGGGAAUGCAGUCCAAAAUGGGUGGUAAAUUUCAUCUAAAGCUAAAUAUUGGCGAGAGACCGAUAGCGAACAAGUACCGUGAGGGAAAGAUGAAAAGAACUUUGAAAAGAGAGUUAAACAGUACGUGAAAUUGUCAAAAGGGAAGCGUUUGACACCAGUGUUGUUUUUCUGAAAAUCAAUUAAAGAACUGUUUAUGCUAAGUUGUUUAGACUUUAUCAGCUAACUGCUUAGUUUUGAGCUUUUCUUUAAUGCACUUUUCAGUUAACAAGUCAACAUCAAUUUCUUUUGCUGUAAAAAAGCUUGAGGAAGGUGGCUUGAGAUUCGUCUUAAGUGUUUAUAGCCUCUUGCCUAUGCAGUCGGAGAGAUUGAGGUCUGCAGCGUAGAUCCUUCGGGGCUAAAUGCAUUUGUGCUAAGUUAUAGCAUUUUAUAGACAACUUGUUGACUAUGAUUUAGUCUUGUAGCUUACUCGCUUAUGUUAUUUUACCUACGCUUAGGAUGUUGAACGCGCACAGAGUCUC
rnacentral:rRNA from 1 species